AUGUUGGCCAUGACUCACUGUGCACAUCAUACUUACCCACUAAGGGGACACACAUGAUAACCCCCAGCCCACAACUCCUAGCAAGGAGCCUCAUGCAAAAGAAUUACUCGGUUCUAGAGAGCCAAAACUGACCGGAGAUCAGCUCAAAGUACUGCUUCCAGGAGACGAUGCCAAGAAAGGCUACGAAUGAGCAAAAUGGGAAUGCAUGAACGAAAGAAAAACUUAGAAAAAUUGAAAACAGCCCAGAAGCCUCAAAUUAUGAAACUAUAAUCACGUCCCUCUGCCGCAAUCCCAUCACUCCCACCAACACAGA